AGCAGCCGCGGUAAUUCCAGCUCCAAUAGCGUAUAUUAAAGUUGUUGCAGUUAAAAAGCUCGUAGUUGAAUUUCGGGAUCAAAUUGUUGGUCGUGCCUCGGUACGCACUGGUAUUAUUGGUUCCUACCUUCUGAAGAAUCGCGAUGUCAUUAGUUUGGUGUCUUGGGGAAUCAGGACUGUUACUUUGAAAAAAUUGAGUGUUUAAAGCAGGCUCGCGCUUGAAUACAUUAGCAUGGAAUAAUGAAAUAGGACUUUGAUUCUAUUUUGUUGGUUUCUAGGAUCGACGUAAUGAUUAAUAGGGAUAGUUGGGGGCAUUAGUAUUCAAUUGUCAGAGGUGAAAUUCUUGGAUUUAUUGAAGACUAACUACUGCGAAAGCAUUUGCCAAGG
rnacentral:rRNA from 1 species